rnacentral:rRNA from 1 species
GAGCGCCCCGCAAGGGGAGCGGCAGACGGGAGAGUAACACGUGGGAACGUGCCCUUUGGUUCGGAACAACACAGGGAAACUUGUGCUAAUACCGGAUAAGCCCUUACGGGGAAAGAUUUAUUGCCAAAGGAGCGGCCCGCGUCUGAUUAGCUUGUUGGUGAGGUAACGGCUCACCAAGGCUACGAUCAGUAGCUGGUCUGAGAGGAUGAUCAGCCUCACUGGGACUGAGACACGGCCCAGACUCCUACGGGAGGCAGCAGUGGGGAAUAUUGGACAAUGGGCGCAAGCCUGAUCCAGCCAUGCCGCGUGGAUGAUGAAGGCCUUAGGGUUGUAAAGUCCUUUCGGCGGGGAAGAUAAUGACGGUACCCGCAGAAGAAGCCCCGGCUAACUUCGUGCCAGCAGCCGCGGUAAUACGAAGGGGGCUAGCGUUGCUCGGAAUCACUGGGCGUAAAGCGCACGUAGGCGGCUUUCUAAGUCAGAGGUGAAAUCCUGGAGCUCAACUCCAGAACUGCCUUUGAUACUGGAGAGCUUGAGUCCGGGAGAGGUGAGUGGAACUGCGAGUGUAGAGGUGAAAUUCGUAGAUAUUCGCAAGAACACCAGUGGCGAAGGCGGCUCACUGGCCCGGUACUGACGCUGAGGUGCGAAAGCGUGGGGA